GCUCCUACCGAUUGAGUGAUCCGGUGAAUUAUUCGGACUGACGCAGUGCUCAGCUUCUGGACGUUGCGUUGGAAAGUUUCAUGAACCUUAUCACUUAAAGGAAGGAGAAGUCGUAACAAGGUUUCCGUAGGUGAACCUGCAGAAGGAUCAAGAUCGGAGGAGCACCCGUCUGAAUCCCAGCCACGUGGCUUUACUUCUUAUGCGUCCUUCUGCUUGAAAAAUACAAAUGUACCUUUGUAACUGACAUCUUCCAUCUCCUUGCUUCACUACGUCAUCC
rnacentral:misc_RNA from 1 species